rnacentral:rRNA from 1 species
CCUCUCGUAAUAUAUGAGAGGUCCAGCCUGCCCAGUGACUAAAUUCAACGGCCGCGGUAUCCUAACCGUGCGAAGGUAGCGUAAUCACUUGUUUUUUAAAUGAAGACUAGUAUGAAUGGCACCACGAGGGUUAUACUGUCUCCUUUUUUUAAUCAAUGAAACUGAUCUCCCCGUGAAGAAGCGGGGAUAUUUAUAUAAGACGAGAAGACCCUAUGGAGCUUUAAACAAUUAUAGCACUGGCCCACACUUCUUAUUCUCCUGAGACAUAAUUAUUAUAUAGACCAACAUGACUAUUAGUUUUAGGUUGGGGUGACCACGGAGCAAAAAAUAACCUCCAUGUUGAACAGAGCUACUCCUGAGCUAAAAGCUACAACUUUAAGCACCAAUAAACUGACAUCAAUUGACCCAACAUGUUGACCAACGAACCAAGUUACCCUAGGGAUAACAGCGCAAUCCAUUUCAAGAGCUCCUAUCGACAAAUGGGUUUACGACCUCGAUGUUGGAUUCAGGGUAUCCCAGUGGUGCAGCCGCUACUAAAGGUUCGUUUGUUCAACGAUUAAAACCCU